AUAAGAAAGUAGGAAAGGGCGCAUGGAGGAUGCCUAGGCUCUCAGAGGCGAAGAAGGACGUGAUAAGCUGCGAA
rnacentral:rRNA from 1 species